UACGGGGGGAGCAAGCGUUGUUCGGAUUUACUGGGCGUAAAGGGCGCGUAGGCGGCCACCGCAAGUCGACUGUGAAAUCUCCGGGCUUAACUCGGAAAGGUCAGCCGAUACUGCGGGGCUAGAGUGCAGAAGGGGCAACUGGAAUUCUCGGUGUAGCGGUGAAAUGCGUAGAUAUCGAGAGGAACACCUGCGGCGAAGGCGGGUUGCUGGGCUGACACUGACGCUAAUUGUGCGAAAGCUAGGGGAGCGAACGGG
rnacentral:rRNA from 1 species